CAGUCGCCGCGGGAACACGGAGGGCGCGAGCGUUACCCGGAUUUACUGGGCGUAAAGGGCGUGUAGGCGGCCUGGGGCGUCCCAUGUGAAAGGCCACGGCUCAACCGUGGAGGAGCGUGGGAUACGCUCAGGCUAGAGGGUGGGAGAGGGUGGUGGAAUUCCCGGAGUAGCGGUGAAAUGCGCAGAUACCGGGAGGAACGCCGAUGGCGAAGGCAGCCACCUGGUCCACUUCUGACGCUGAGGCGCGAAAGUGUGGGGAGCAAACCGGAUUAGAUACCCCUGUAGUCCCUGUCUCUUAUAC
rnacentral:rRNA from 1 species